rnacentral:misc_RNA from 1 species
AAAGUCGUAACAAGGUAACCGUAGGUGAACCUGCGGUUGGAUCAUUAUUGAUUUUACCAUGAUUUUAUUUUUUACUCUAUAGAGGUUUGAUGCCUUUUAAAAGGCUCCCUUUUUUUAGGUAGAUAUAUAAAAUCAUUUCAACACCAUGUGCAAUGUAAUUGUUUUUUGGGCCUUUGAAGCAAUUUGUUUCCAAGGUCCUGAAUUUUUAUUAAACCCUAUUUUAAAUUUGACUGAUUAAACCAAGAUUUUAAUAAAUCAAAAUACAACUUUUGACAACGGAUCUCUUGGCUCUC